rnacentral:rRNA from 1 species
UACGGGGGGAGCAAGCGUUGUUCGGAUUUACUGGGCGUAAAGGGCGCGUAGGCGGCCACCGCAAGUCACUUGUGAAAUCUCCGGGCUUAACUCGGAACGGUCAAGUGAUACUGUCGGGCUAGAGUACAGAAGGGGCAACUGGAAUUCUCGGUGUAGCGGUGAAAUGCGUAGAUAUCGAGAGGAACACCUGCGGCGAAGGCGGGUUGCUGGGCUGAUACUGACGCUGAAGUGCGAAAGCAAGGGGAUCAAACAGG